UCGGGAAUUUUGGGCAAUGGGCGAAAGCCUGACCCAGCAACGCCGCGUGAAAGAUGAAGUAUUUCGGUAUGUAAACUUCGAAAGAAUAGGAAGAAUAAAUGACGGUACUAUUUAUAAGGUCCGGCUAACUACGUGCCAGCAGCCGCGGUAAUACGUAGGGACCAAGCGUUGUUCGGAUUUACUGGGCGUAAAGGGCGCGUAGGCGGCAAUUCAAGUCAUCUGUGAAAUCUCCGGGCUUAACUCGGAACGGUCAGAUGAUACUGCUUUGCUAGAGUGCAGAAGGGGCAAUCGGAAUUCUUGGUGUAGCGGUGAAAUGCGUAGAUAUCAAGAGGAACACCUGAGGUGAAGACGGGUUGCUGGGCUGACACUGACGCUGAGGCGCGAAAGCCAGGGGAGCAAACGGGAUUAGAUACCCACGUAGUCCCUGAGCGGGCUGGCAAGGCGCAU
rnacentral:rRNA from 1 species